GUGGGGAAUAUUGGGCAAUGGGGGAAACCCUGACCCAGCAACGCCGCGUGAAGGAAGAAGGCUUUCGGGUUGUAAACUUCUUUUAUGAGGGAAGAUAAUGACGGUACCUCAUGAAUAAGCCACGGCUAACUACGUGCCAGCAGCCGCGGUAAUACGUAGGUGGCAAGCGUUGUCCGGAUUUACUGGGUGUAAAGGGCGUGUAGGCGGGACUGCAAGUCAGAUGUGAAAUUUCGGGGCUCAACCCCGAAACUGCAUUUGAAACUGUGGUUCUUGAGUAUCGGAGAGGCAGGCGGAAUUCCUAGUGUAGCGGUGAAAUGCGUAGAUAUUAGGAGGAACACCAGUGGCGAAGGCGGCCUGCUGGACGACAACUGACGCUGAGGCGCGAAAGCGUGGGGAGCAAACAGGAUUAGAAACCCUAGUAGUCC
rnacentral:rRNA from 1 species